UACGAGGGGGGCGAGCGUUGUUCGGAAUUAUUGGGCGUAAAGGGUGCGUAGGCGGCUUGGUAAGUCUUAUGUGAAAUCUACAGGCUCAACUUGUAGUCUGCAUGAGAAACUGCCGGGCUUGAGUAUGGGAGAGGUGAGUGGAAUUCCUGGUGUAGCGGUGAAAUGCGUAGAUAUCAGGAGGAACACCUGUGGCGAAAGCGGCUCACUGGACCAUAACUGACGCUGAUGCACGAAAGCUAGGGGAGCAAACAGG
rnacentral:rRNA from 1 species